rnacentral:rRNA from 1 species
GGGUUGUGAGGUUAAGCGACUAAGCGUACACGGUGGAUGCCCUGGCAGUCAGAGGCGAUGAAGGACGUGCUAAUCUGCGAAAAGCGCCGGCGAGGUGAUAUGAACCCUUGACCCGGCGAUGUCCGAAUGGGGAAACCCAGUGCAAUCCGUUGCACUAUCGUUAACUGAAUACAUAGGUUAACGAGGCGAACCGGGGGAACUGAAACAUCUAAGUACCCCGAGGAAAAGAAAUCAACCGAGAUUCCCCCAGUAGCGGCGAGCGAACGGGGAGCAGCCCGGAGUCUGAAUCAGCUUGUGUGUUAGUGGAACGGUCUGGAAAGUCCGACGGUACAGGGUGAUAGUCCCGUACACGAAAGCACACAUGCUGUGAACUCGAAGAGUAGGGCGGGACACGUGGUAUCCUGUCUGAAUAUGGGGGGACCAUCCUCCAAGGCUAAAUACUCCUGACUGACCGAUAGUGAACCAGUACCGUGAGGGAAAGGCGAAAAGAACCCCGGCGAGGGGAGUGAAAAAGAACCUGAAACCGUGUACGUACAAGCAGUGGGAGCCUCUUUAUGGGGUGACUGCGUACCUUUUGUAUAAUGGGUCAGCGACUUAUAUUCUGUAGCAAGGUUAACCGUAUAGGGGAGCCGAAGGGAAACCGAGUCUUAACUGGGCGUUAAGUUGCAGGGUAUAGACCCGAAACCCGGUGAUCUAGCCAUGGGCAGGUUGAAGGUUGGGUAACACUAACUGGAGGACCGAACCGACUAAUGUUGAAAAAUUAGCGGAUGACCUGUGGCUGGGGGUGAAAGGCCAAUCAAACCGGGAGAUAGCUGGUUCUCCCCGAAAGCUAUUUAGGUAGCGCCUCGUGAACUCAUCUUCGGGGGUAGAGCACUGUUUCGGCUAGGGGGCCAUCCCGGCUUACCAACCCGAUGCAAACUACGAAUACCGAAGAAUGUUAUCACGGGAGACACACGGCGGGUGCUAACGUCCGUCGUGAAGAGGGAAACAACCCAGACCGCCAGCUAAGGUCCCAAAGUCAUGGUUAAGUGGGAAACGAUGUGGGAAGGCACAGACAGCCAGGAUGUUGGCUUAGAAGCAGCCAUCAUUUAAAGAAAGCGUAAUAGCUCACUGGUCGAGUCGGCCUGCGCGGAAGAUGUAACGGGGCUAAACCAUGCACCGAAGCUGCGGCAGCGACACUAUGUGUUGUUGGGUAGGGGAGCGUUCUGUAAGCCGUUGAAGGUGUGCUGUGAGGCAUGCUGGAGGUAUCAGAAGUGCGAAUGCUGACAUAAGUAACGAUAAAGCGGGUGAAAAGCCCGCUCGCCGGAAGACCAAGGGUUCCUGUCCAACGUUAAUCGGGGCAGGGUGAGUCGACCCCUAAGGCGAGGCCGAAAGGCGUAGUCGAUGGGAAACAGGUUAAUAUUCCUGUACUUGGUGUUACUGCGAAGGGGGGACGGAGAAGGCUAUGUCAGCCGGGCGACGGUUGUCCCGGUUUAAGCAUGUAGGCGGAGGUUCCAGGUAAAUCCGGUACCUUAUUAACGCUGAGGUGUGAUGACGAGGCACUACGGUGCUGAAGUGAUAAAUGCCCUGCUUCCAGGAAAAGCCUCUAAGCAUCAGGUAACACGAAAUCGUACCCCAAACCGACACAGGUGGUCAGGUAGAGAAUACCAAGGCGCUUGAGAGAACUCGGGUGAAGGAACUAGGCAAAAUGGUGCCGUAACUUCGGGAGAAGGCACGCUGAUAUGUAGGUGAAGCCCCUGCGGGUGGAGCUGAAAUCAGUCGAAGAUACCAGCUGGCUGCAACUGUUUAUUAAAAACACAGCACUGUGCAAACACGAAAGUGGACGUAUACGGUGUGACGCCUGCCCGGUGCCGGAAGGUUAAUUGAUGGGGUUAGCGGCAACGCGAAGCUCUUGAUCGAAGCCCCGGUAAACGGCGGCCGUAACUAUAACGGUCCUAAGGUAGCGAAAUUCCUUGUCGGGUAAGUUCCGACCUGCACGAAUGGCGUAAUGAUGGCCAGGCUGUCUCCACCCGAGACUCAGUGAAAUUGAACUCGCUGUGAAGAUGCAGUGUACCCGCGGCAAGACGGAAAGACCCCGUGAACCUUUACUAUAGCUUGACACUGAACACUGGUCCUUGAUGUGUAGGAUAGGUGGGAGGCUUUGAAGCGUGGACGCCAGUCUGCGUGGAGCCAACCUUGAAAUACCACCCUUUAAUGGCUGGUGUUCUAACGUGGACCCGUAAUCCGGGUUGCGGACAGUGUCUGGUGGGUAGUUUGACUGGGGCGGUCUCCUCCCAAAGAGUAACGGAGGAGCACGAAGGUUGGCUAAUCCUGGUCGGACAUCAGGAGGUUAGUGCAAUGGCAUAAGCCAGCUUGACUGCGAGCGUGACGGCGCGAGCAGGUGCGAAAGCAGGUCAUAGUGAUCCGGUGGUUCUGAAUGGAAGGGCCAUCGCUCAACGGAUAAAAGGUACUCCGGGGAUAACAGGCUGAUACCGCCCAAGAGUUCAUAUCGACGGCGGUGUUUGGCACCUCGAUGUCGGCUCAUCACAUCCUGGGGCUGAAGUAGGUCCCAAGGGUAUGGCUGUUCGCCAUUUAAAGUGGUACGCGAGCUGGGUUUAGAACGUCGUGAGACAGUUCGGUCCCUAUCUGCCGUGGGCGCUGGAGAAUUGAGGGGGGCUGCUCCUAGUACGAGAGGACCGGAGUGGACGCAUCACUGGUGUUCGGGUUGUCAUGCCAAUGGCACUGCCCGGUAGCUAAAUGCGGAAGAGAUAAGUGCUGAAAGCAUCUAAGCACGAAACUUGCCCCGAGAUGAGUUCUCCCUGAGACUUUAAGUCUCCUGAAGGAACGUUGAAGACGACGACGUUGAUAGGUCGGGUGUGUAAGCGCAGCGAUGCGUUGAGCUAACCGAUACUAAUGAACCGUGAGGCUUAACCUUACAACGCCGAAGGUGUUU